GGUAUGCUAUACCUCCAGAGCAUGGCAAGAGGCUGGAAAGACUGGCCAAAGGAUUUUUCCCUGGGAGUUCUCAAGGGUGUGAUGCCUUCCUGCGACACAAGAUGACCCUCAUUUCACCUUCCAUCUUGAAAAAAUACAGCAUCCCUUUUGACCGGAUCACCCAGGAAGCUGGAGAAUUCAUGAUUACUUUCCCUUACGGCUACCAUGCGGGCUUCAACCAUGGAUUCAACUGCGCCGAGUCCACCAAUUUUGCCACCCUGCGAUGGAUCGAUUACGGCAAGAUGG